rnacentral:tRNA from 1 species
GGGGGUAUAGCUCAGCUGUGGCAUGCCUGCCUAGCAUGCACGAGGUCCUGGGUCCAAUCCCCAGUACCUCCA